CACAAUCCCUCUGGGCAGCCUGUUCCCUAUUUCUAGACUUGCUAGUGAAACAGAGCUGUGCUCCGCUGUCUUGAGCACAGAGAAGCCUUAGUAAGAUAAAACCAUGCUAACCUCUGCUUGAUUCCCCCAGCACUACCAACAGCACCGUGUGCUCACCCUGCCCACCUGGCCACUAUGCCAACGAGUCGGGGGCCACAGCCUGCAGCGCGUGCCAGAAAGGUUAUUUUAGCUCACAGCAAAAUGCAGCUUUUUGUCUGCCUUGCCUGCCCGGAUCGUUCUGCAACACCACCAGCUGCACUCUGUGUCUGGCCUGUCCUGCUGGGCGUGAGGCUCCACAUGAGGCUGCUGAGGGGUGUACGCCGUGCCGGGCAGAGCCCAGAUGUGAACCCUAUCAAGUGCCCUCCUGAUGCCUUCUGCCCCGUGGGCAGCACCGCACCCCAGUACUGCAUGGAGGUCUUCCUGUACAAGGUGGGCAGCUCCUGCCAGCUGACGCCACUGGUGAUAGUCCUCCUGGCCCUCUUCUCAGCAGGUGCAAUUCUUAUAAUCUUUGUACUAAUUCUGAGAAGAAGGCAAGAAUACAGCACAAAGUCUUUGAAGUCCCUGUUGCUACCACGAGGAUCAGAGCAGCACACAACGUAUGGAGUGAUGGAGCACACAGAGCCCGUGUAUGCUGGCUGGUAGUGGGGGAAAUGCUAUCUGCAAGCACUGUGUUCCCUUUUCUGUAGGGUAAUGCACCUGUGUGCAUAUAUGAAAAAUGCUUGACCAUCACUAACCUAUUUCUGUAUAGAUAAAAUAACUACAGAGAUAUAAAAUGCAAAUCAUUUUUCAGCUGUGACUUUUUGUGCUAACCAACCUAGCUGGAUGCUGUUCUACAUGAAAUGGACUGAACAGCAGAAACUUCCCCUUUAAUUCCUAGCUCCACUCGCAAUAAAUAUUUUUUUUCCUUUCCUUAAGAAAUUUUA
rnacentral:lncRNA from 1 species